CCUGAUGCAGCGACGCCGCGUGAGGGAUGACGGCCUUCGGGUUGUAAACCUCUUUCAGUAGGGAAGAAGCGAAAGUGACGGUACCUGCAGAAGAAGCGCCGGCUAACUACGUGCCAGCAGCCGCGGUAAUACGUAGGGCGCAAGCGUUAUCCGGAAUUAUUGGGCGUAAAGAGCUCGUAGGCGGUUUGUCGCGUCUGCCGUGAAAGUCCGGGGCUCAACUCCGGAUCUGCGGUGGGUACGGGCAGACUAGAGUGAUGUAGGGGAGACUGGAAUUCCUGGUGUAGCGGUGAAAUGCGCAGAUAUCAGGAGGAACACCGAUGGCGAAGGCAGGUCUCUGGGCAUUAACUGACGCUGAGGAGCGAAAGCAUGGGGAGCGAACAGGAUUAGAUACCCUGGUAGUCCAUGCCGUAAACGUUGGGCACUAGGUGUGGGGGACAUUCCACGUUUUCCGCGCCGUAGCUAACGCAUUAAGUGCCCCGCCUGGGGAGUACGGCCGCAAGGCUAAAACUCAAAGGAAUUGACGGGGGCCCGCACAAGCGGCGGAGCAUGCGGAUUAAUUCGAUGCAACGCGAAGAACCUUACCAAGGCUUGACAUGAACCGGUAAUACCUGGAAACAGGUGCCCCGCUUGCGGUCGG
rnacentral:rRNA from 1 species